rnacentral:rRNA from 1 species
UACGAAGGGGGCUAGCGUUGUUCGGAAUUACUGGGCGUAAAGCGUACCGAUAGGUUGUUUUGCAAGUCAGAAGUAAAAUCUCCGAGCUCAACUCGGAAUCUGUCUUUUGAAACUGCAAAACUAGAGGGGCAAAGAGGAAGCUAGAACGAACGGUGUAGUAGUGAAAUGCGUUGAUAUCGUUCGGAAUACCGAUAGCGAAGGCAGGCUUCUGGGUGCCACCUGACACUGCUAGGACGAAAGCGUGGGGAGCGAAUGGG